rnacentral:lncRNA from 1 species
AUGCUUUAUAAAGAAAUUGAGUACUUGGAAUGUGUUCAGAAAACAGAAACUACAAUGAUGAGAAGAUUCAAACUUGAGUCAUUGAAAGGAAGGCCGAGUAAAUUCAAAAUAUUUUUUGUGGAUGAGAGCAGACAUGGAAAGAAGGAAAGAAGAAAUAAGCACAGACAUGAGGAGUCAUCAGCAAAAGGCCUUCUAGAGCUCCAGGUGUACUUUAUUACUUUGUGCUGAUUUUGCAACAGCCAACAUUCUUGUGGACUAAAACAGUCACUUCAAAUUCCAUUUAAUCUAAAAGCCAAAACCUCUGCCAGGGAGAGAUUAUGGCUGGAACACAGACAUUAAUAAGGUACAUAACUAGCCACAACAACAGAAGUUAAACUGUUCUUUCUCCUAGGCAUCCCUGCUAGUAUUUGUUAAAUAUUACCAUUUAAAAACUCCUAAUUUUAUAGGAAAGAAAUAUAUUUUAAUUCCUUCUUUGGUUGUGUGUAAGACUGAAUGGUUUUCUAUGUUUGUAACCUACUUAUUAUGUUAGUGACCUAGUUAUACGUCACAUACCAAAUGCCUGCCCCAUUCCCUUUAAAAUUUUGUUAAUACCCUUUGUGCAUUUUUAAUUGAAUUUUCAUUUAUAUUUCCUUUGCACAUUUGUUCAAGAUACAAAUAUUUAUUUUUUAUAUUUUAAAAUUGACAAGUAUAUAUUGCAUAUAUUUAUGGUACACAACAUGAUGUUUUGAUCUUUGUACACAUUGUGGAAUGGCUAAAUCAUAUGUAUUACCUCACAUACUUAUCAUGUUUUUGUGCUGUGAACACUUAAAAUCUACUCUUAGCAAUUUUCAACCAUACAAGAUACUCUUACUAACUAUAGUUACCAUUGAUGUACCGUAGAUCUCUUGAUGUUACUCCUCGUAACCGAAAUUUUAGGUUCUUUGACCAAUAUCUCCCCAUAGCCCUGUUCUCCAACCUCUAGUGACCACCAUUUCACUCUCUGUUUUUAUGACUUUGACUUUUUUAGGCUCCACAUAUAAGUGAGAUCAUGCAGUAUUUGUCUUUAUGUGUCUGGCUUAUUUCACUUAAUGGCCUCCUGGGUCAUCCAUGUUGUCACUAAUGACCAUGUUUCCUUAUUUUCAUGACUAAAUGUUAUACCAUUGUAUAUAUACACCACAUUUUCUUUGUCCAUUUAUCUACUGAUUGAUACUUAGAUUGAUUCCAUAUCUUGGCUAUUGUAAAUAGUGCUGCAAAAAACAUCAAAGUACAGAUGUCUCUUUGAUACACUA